CCCGUUGCUGCAUUCUCUGUUGGUUUCACUGUUGUUGUAACCGGUUCAGGCGGUGGUGGCGGUGGCAUUGUUUGGCUAUCAACCUCUGUGGCGCCUAGAGCUGUUUCUGUGUUUGGAGUUGAAGACGGAACACUUUUUUCUUCCGAAGGUGUUUCCUCGACUACAGGAGGCUCAGAUACUGUCUCUGUCACUGGUUUAUCCAAAUGUUCUGCUGUCUCAGCAACAGCUGCAGUUUCCGGUGCUGCUGAUUCAGAACCAGCUGCAGUUUCUCGUGCUUCUGACUCGGAAACAGCUGCAGUUUCUGGUGCAGCUGACUCAGAAGCAGCUGCAGUUUCCGGUGCAGCUGACUCAGGAUCAGCUGCAGUUUCAGGCGCUGACUCGGUCUGUGGUUGCUCAGAAGAUGGAGGAGCUUCAAUAGCCAACGGCUUAGCUGGUUCUUCAACAGCCAAUGGCUUAGUUGGUUCUUGCGGCUUCAGUGUGGGUAGAGGUUUUUUGGGAGCAGAGAUGGAAGCAAAGAUUGAAGACAUUCCGGGAGGUAGAAUCUCGAUUGGAGGCUUUGUGGAUGCAUCAGAUAAACUCGUGAGCUUUGGAUCCUCAAGAGAAGCCAAAAACGCACUUGCAGCAUCUGUCUUAGAAGAUGGAGCUUGCUCAACUUCCUUCUGUAGUGUUUUAUUCCAAGCCUGGACCAAGUUCUUUAGAGUUGGACGACCAUGUGCCUGUGUGAUAGAAAAGUCAGAAACAAUAGGAGCUUCAUAAGAAAGCUAACUCAAGAAAGAAAGAUAAAAAAAAAAGAGAAAGAUUGGUGAAACUGAAAUCUUACAUGGGCAUGAAGCACAGCUUCUGCGAGCAUUCCCGUGUCUUGCCAUGCCUUCUCCAUAAGCGCAUUGUCACCCAGAACUGCAGCAGCAAAUGCUGAUUCUCGCCCGAGGCCUAUGGAGAUCAGAUUGUUUAUCAGUCCCUGCAACAAGAUUAAAACAGCCUUUUCAAUAAAGGAACCAGACCAUAAAAUAAUCUCCUAAGUUUUAAUUUUCCUAAGAAGAUUCUGUCUACAGUUUUUGAAAAUUAAAAGCCAAAAGAAAGAGAAAUUGGGGACAUACACUCAAGCGUGUCAAUUCUCCAUGGUUCGCUAAGCGUAAUGCAAGGCCUCGCAACUCAUGACCCUGUAAGGCGCCUUUCACUGAACCUGCAGUGGCCAGUCUUUUGAGAGCUUCGCGAGCUAUGUCAGCGUGCCCAGUGGCAUCUGCAGCAUCUAUAAGGUCGAGAAACUCCUUCGCGAAUUUCACUAUUCCCUCCACCGCUUCAACAACGUCUUCUUUCUUCUCAGCUGUUAAAGAGAGAAUGUCACUCAAAUCCAGGCCUAAACCGUCCUGUCCAAUGUCCCUGCUAUUACUCAUUGUGAGAAGACAAUGUAGAGCCCUCUUCAGAUCAUUGCUCUGCAUCGCUAGGUCAAACUCCAGCCUGAGAACACAUGUGAGUGAAAAUAAUCGCUGAUAUCAUUUUUGUGUAAGUUGAGAGCUAGAAUGAACGAUCGACCACAUGUGAGUGAAACACUGAAUUCUGUACAUACUCCAGCACAAGCAAUUCAGAGACUAGAGAAAACUGAGAAUAGUAGGAACAGACUGGAGGAAACAGCUGCACCAAACAUAAUAUGAUUCUUUUACCUCUUAGAUAUUCCAGGCAAAUGAAGAGCUUCUGUUGCAUAACCCAUCCCUAACAUAAACUGUGCCAGAUCGUCAUGAUGUUCUCUCCCAAGUCUACUUGCCCUGCGCAACAGAAAAUGUUGUAUAUUCCAGCUUGUUUACUACUAGUAUAAAGACGAUAUAAUGAAAAUAUAUCAAUACCAUUUAACUGCACUAACAGCAUCCCCGUACGCAGCAAGACAGCGACAACGGAUACCAGGAUGGCUCAAUGAUAUGGCAUGGGCACACAUGUACCUAUCAAGAAAAUAAAGGUGUGAGACAAUAAUUUACCUCAGUAGUUCCAUUAUUUAUAUGAUCAUUCAAGUGACUGAUAGGACGAUCAUGGCAAGAUACUGUAUCCAACAUGGUAACUCUGUGACUACAUAUAUUUUUUUGUACGUUGAAACCUUGGACUGCAAAUGUCAGAAGUCAAGGAGCCGACCUAGUGCGUACUAAGAAUAAAAAGAAAAAAAACCUUGAUCUAACUGCAUAUACGUGUCGUCAACAAAGAAAUUUUUUAGCAAGAGUCAGUCUUGCUUUAAGGUAAGAACAUGGAUAUUCUUGUUACCUGUCAAUGAGCCAAAGAACUCCAUCCCGUACACCAGCAACAACAAGAGGCCCCACUGGUCGUUUCUGCUCCACUGGGAAACGAGUAACAGCAACUGAGACUCCACCACCACCUACAGCUACCUCACUGGCCCUUCUUUCAUCCAUGUCAUCACCAUCACCUCUAGAUUGUCUCGGCAAUGAUAAAAAUGGUGGAACAGAUGGAGCGUUUUGGAAAGAGGCUAAACGUACAACCUACAAUAAAAAAGUACACACAUGAGGUAAAAGUUCGACAUAGAUUCAGGAUUAGACAUGUAAAAUUAAGCUUCAAAAUCAGUUAUAUAUAUAUAUAUAUAUAUAUAUAUAUAUAUCUCAUGUAAAGAGAGAAAUGUCCACCUGCAACAUGGGGGGCCUCAAUAAAAUCCUUUCUUGCUUGGCAUUCUGGGCACCUUCUACUGUGAUUAAGGCUAAUUCACCAUGCUCUGCAACUGCUCUAGCCUGUGCCUCCUUAAGUUUAAUUUCUUCCUUCAUCUUCAUAGUCUCUAUAUCAAUUUCAGAUACUCCCGCAUCCACAAAAACACAUCUGCAGAUCGAGGCAUGAAAGAGAGUAUUAGCAUUCCUCCUUACUUUGUUUCAGAAAUUGGCAAAUUAAGGUAACCAUGCCCUUAACAAGGUCAGAAUCAUGGAAAAUACAUUCAAAGAGUUAUAAUCUCCCGGAAGUUGGAUAACGCACAAUCAAGAUAAUUCAAAUAACUGGUGCUACACAACUGCUGCAAAACAGUUCCUAAAAACAGUUUUUAAUUUGUUUCAUCCAAUAGAACUGUAGAAGUCUGGAAGAAGCAUUCAAGGUAACAUAUACAAAACAGAAAGAAGUUCGUCGAUCAUAUAUAGAACAUUAAUCUUACUCAAUUGUGGUUGGUGUAGCCACAAACAGCUGUCUGCGGUGCCAAACAGCUCCAGUAGCAUGUGAAAUGGCAACAUCACCAAGAUAUCUAUACUGAGGGCGCAACGACGAUAUGACCAUGUAUUUUUGAUAAGCAAAAGCACAAUACUCAACUGUUUGGUCCCACGCCGUCCACUCUGGCUGAGGUAGCAUACCACCUACUGGCUCAAAAUUGUCCCAACUGCACGUUGAAAAUUCCAUGUGGAUUAAUAUGAAGCCAAACAACAUGAAAAAUGCCUCAAAAUUGAAGUCGAGUUAACCAAAAUGGAGCCAUUAAUCACCUGUAGAGCUGGUAGUUUAGGGGUGCGGACUCGGUAGAUCUCUGCGAAGAACCAUCAUCAUAGCUGGAAAACGAAGAAACAUUACUGUUUCCAAAUCCUGAGAGUGGCAUCGACUGAAUGGUUGAAAUAGCUGAAGCAGCAACAGGACUAAUCCUUCGGGAUGUACGAUAGCCUAUUCCAAGUAGAGCACCACCAUGCAGUCCAAUGACCUGCCAAGAGAAAUUUUGAAGCACAUUAUUGCUUACCUAAGCCUAGAAGUCAAAUAUCGACAUACUGUCCUUUGAUAAGUUUUCCAAACAUACACAAUACACAACCACUUAGAGUCGAAAAGAAUUCUCAAUGCGUAAGGUUCUCAUGUUCAGCAAUAUUGUCCUUUUGGUCGAACGUCAUUUGAUAAACAACUGGAUUCAAAGUUUAAUAUUGUUUUUUUUUUUAAGUUAUUUUUUCCAUAUAUUCAAUGCAAAAUUAAUACGAAUUCUUAGAAGCAUAUGAUUAGAUAAAUUAUGCAAUGAAACCACUUCAACAUAUAGCUCGAGAAUACAUAAAGAGGAACUAAGAUAAACGAACAAAUGAUGAACUUGAUAUGAAAGAUGGUUAUCCCCAGCUGAGACUUAAACACAUCAAAAGCGGCUAAGGAACGCAAUAACUCAAGUAAAGGAUACAUACCGGUUCAGAACGACCUCCUACAGAUCUCAUGAGAAUGUUUGAGGUUCCAUCAUCCAAGAGAAUACGAACUUGAACACUAGCUGAUGAAGCUGCAUUAGCAGCAGCGGCGGCUUGAGCUGCGGCUGCAGCGGCUUCUUUCGCCUUUCUUGAUGAACCACCCUUUGGGAUUAUGGGCAUCCUUUGAGGUAAUACAGAUUCUAGUAUCGCAAAUCUAUCUCGACAUGUAUCCCAAGCCAAAAGUCUUGCACUUCCAGAAUCAACAAUGGUCCAGUCACUAACCUUGUAGAUAGAGAAGUACAAGAUAUCAGGCCAUACAACUGCCACAUACCUACAACCAGAGAAUAAAGUUAGCUGGCUAAACAAAAGACAGCAGUCAACAAAUUACGUACAUAAAUAUAUUAGCGAGGAGUUAUCUAACAAAUAUAUUUAGGCAAAGAACGACUAAACUAAAUGGUUGAUACUUGAAUGCCAUUUUCUCUUUCCUGUCUACCAUAGCAUCUGGUGGGGUAAAUCCCACCGAGAUACAAAACCAACAAGCAUGUACGGAAUUUAAAAGUACAAUAACAAUAUAUGCAACCGUAUAACAGGUAAACAAUGAAGGAAUUAGAAUAUUCACAAGCAGCAUGAAAACACAAAUACAAUUUACAGUAACAAACAGCAUCACUAUGCAGAAAAUAUUUAAUAUAAUGCAUAUCAUUAUAAGACUGAAAAAAGAACUUACUUUCCUGAACUGCUUACAGAAAGAACCGAGUAUGAAUCAUGUGGAACAGGUGCCACAAUCUGCUUUUUAGUCUGCUUUACAGUCAACUGUUCACCUGAGUCUCCCUUAGCCAUUCCUGAUUCGGAUAAGGCACUAUUAUUUCCAAGGGAUGGGUUGGCUGUGUUGGAUAUUUGAAAGUUUAAGAGCUUUAAUUCUCUUCCAAGGAUAUAUACAGCUGAAUUCUCCCGACUUCCAGACAGUGCCGGUAGAGGGGCUGCAGACGGGAUGGCACGAGGAUCAAAUUCACUAACUAUAAUACCGACAUUGGUACCAGUUGCGACGAGAUGUGGCUGAAGAGGAUGUGCAACCAUACAAUAGACCUGAAGAAAAUGAAACUAAUAAGUAACUAAUCUGUACAUUCUGAAAAGAUAACUUUAGAAAUUUGCGUGAAACAUGUCUUUUCUUGAUCAUCCUGUACAAUAUAAAAUAACUUUUUUCUCAAUUGCAAUGUGUUUUAUGAUACAAACAGUUAUCAAUCAAGAUUCUGCUUUUCUAGAUGGUUAGGGUUAUCUAUACAUGGAUUUGUUCUGCAAGAAGUAACAAAUAAUCAAACAAUGCAAUUUAUUCUUAUUCCUACUCUGGUUGAGUCCGAAUGUAUUUGCAUUGCCAAGUGCAGUUCUGUACAGCUGAUCAACUUCAUUAUUUUAACCAUGAUAGAUGCAUUUUUACGAUACAUGAAUAGAAAAUACUGUUUUGUGGGGCACAUAGAAUGGAGAUGCAAUUCUUUCAAGUGUAGAGAGCAAUUCUCAUGUUAAGGAUUGUGACUGAAUUAGUGACAUAAUAAACAGAAAAAAAUCGGUGACGUACAAUUAGCCAAUGCAGAAAGAAAUGACAUGAUAUAUGGUAGAUUCCAAGGAAAUCAUCAACGACUAGUGCUGCGUUUGCUUGGUUAAACUCAGAAAUAAGCAAGUAGUCAAAAGAAAAUUACCCUAAGUUUUCUGUGGGUUGCAAGGACUUGAGGCGGAACCAAGGAAGAAAGUUCACAUAAUGGCCUUGUCAAAGCCGAAUAAGUUGGAUGCUCAAUAGACCUGUGAAAAUUCAAACAAUUAAAUACUCCUCUAAUAUGCACAAAGAUGUUCACCAUGGAUAUCACGAAAUGUUUAAUCAAGGAUACCAUAUGUGUGAAUCUUUAACGCAUGUCAAAAUAUCAAGGUUUGGUGCUCGAGGGUGACACCAAGAUGCAACACUGUGGCAAGCUAGCUUCGGGACAGGUUUAAUUCUCCGUAGCUCCUGCAGAGAAAAAGUACACAUGUGGGUUGAAAAUAGAAAUCCAUAAAAUAUGCAAAACCCAUACAUGAGAUACAACAUUACCUUAAAUGUCAUUGUGUCCCAUAUAGCCAAUGUCUUGUCAGCACCGAUUGUAAUCAAUUGUGGAGCACUGCCACUUACCCGUGACAACUCAACAGCCACUACUCCACCAUCAUGUGCCUAAUUCAGUAAGAACAAAAUAUAAUAAGAUUAAGCAAAAGCUUUUACAAAGCCAUUUCUGGAAGGAUAAACCAGUAUAACAGAAAAGUGGAAUUUUAUAGACUCAAUUAAGCAAACAAUAGCAUGUCACUUGAACCAAUAGAAAAGGACAAAAAGUAUGACAGAGAAGUGGAAUUUUAUAAACUCAAUUAAGCAAAACAAUAGCAUGUCAUUUGAAUCAACAGAAAAAGACAAUCAAGAGCAUGUCAUACUACACUAAUCAAUACUCAGCCUAUUAAUCAGAAUAGGAUCAAAGAAAAAAAAAUCUAGUUACUAUUAUCCAACAUCACAAAUCAACUCAGGUCCACUGAAACUAAGAACAAUAGUACCAUGUCCUCACCUGUAACCAAAUUUGGCCAAUCUUUUUAUGAACGAGUAGGAUUAGAAUAAAUACCUUUAAGCUGAGCUUGGGUACUAGUUCCCUUGAAUCACUGCCAUGAUCGGCACUCCACAGUACAAGUAACCCAUCACUGCCACCUGAAACAAGGAGUGCCUGCAAUUGCAAGCAGAUAGAGAACGGCUGGUAUCAUGUAUUGAAUAUGAAUAACAGAGAAAAUAGUUGAUAGUUUCAAUUAUAAGAAAACGGAAAAGGCAGUCGUUAGUAGAACUAAAACCUAAUAAUGAUAAUAAAUGAAUCUAGAGAACUAAACAACCAAUUUAGAAAACAGAUGUCUAUGUUUUAAUUCCUUCCGCUCCCAAUGCUAGGUUGUGCAAGAAAGUUAUCCCAAACAACAAAUGAACUUCUACUAAGCAAUUUAGGAUAUAUGAAAGUAAGGGUAGACCUUUAAACUGAAUGACUCCUUACUUAAAAGCGAUUUAGGAAACGAAAAGAAAAUGUAAAGAACUUUCAAGACAAUAUCCCCAAUAUACUGUUUUGUUUUACAUGUCAGUCAACCAUAGCAGGUGACCUUGCGUAUGUUUCUCUAAAUCAAAGAAUGGGAAGUUGAAAGAAUAUGUAGUUACCUCGCCAGAUGAUGCCAUGAAAUUCAUCAAGCAAUAUAUUGAUCCUUUAUGGCCACCGGUAUAUCUACGUGCAAGCUGGAAGGAAGUAAGCAUUCAGGGAAAUUAACACAGAUCAGUCCCAAUAGCGCUCACCAUAAACCCAGCAGAAAAACAAAAUAAAAAUUCAAUUUUGGAACAAGCACCUUCCAUGUUAUCAUUGAUAAAACCCUAAUGACACCAUCAGUUGAACCAAAUGCAACUAAAGGGCCAUCACCACCAGAUGAUCUGGUAAGGAACUCCAUGCUGCAAAGAAAGGAGUAAGUCUAACCACGUUGGAGCAGAAUAAUUCGGAAAAGUAGAAGCCUGUUUGAACAUUACACUUAAACCACACACACACACACACGGACAUUAACUUGUCAUAGUCUAUAUUUGACUCCAAUAAUUCCAGCGUAGUAACUAAUGGAGAUCUUUCCAGGAUUCAAGCAAGGCUAUAUAUGUCACGCAAACAAUGAUCUAAAAUCAGAGAAAAAUCAGAGAAACGGAAUUGAAACUUACCAGAGAAGUGACCUAUUGUCAAGCUCUGACUUAGGCACAUCUCGGCCACGCAUUGUCACCAAGUCCAAGAAAAUAGCUUUAUUCUCACAACAGAUGACCAAAAAAUGCCGGCCUUUAGUUGACGGAGCAGGAGAAGUGAAACCGGACGUGAGAUGAUUAACAGCAGAGGGAGAUUCAGCAGCUGCAGAGCGAUUGCGCCACAGUUGCCAAUAACGCACAUCAUCGUCAUAAAACUUCACCUGCUUAACACUUGUAGAUAGAAAAAAAACAAGAUUUCAUCUAAUUAAUCUUUUAUUUUCAAAUUUCUCGCGAAAGAAUAGCAGCGGCCAAGACGUAAUAAUUACCUUCCUCCUCGAAUAGCUUCAGUAGGUUUGCCUUUAUAGUCUAAACAAAACAUAAACGCCAAUCAUUAACCGCAUACUCAUUAUACCACAAUAGAAUGUUGAAUUUAACAAAAGAGAGAGUUCAUCAUGGCUCACCGGAGUCUCCUUCGGCAAGCUUCUCUAACUUAGCACCAACUAAACGGCGCUCGUCGACUCCACCGGCUUUCAAUUCAUAAAUCACCUACAAAAAAAUCCCCAAACACGUUGAAAAAAAUACUCGAUUCGGGAUUAGAAGCAAAACCAAAACGGAAUCUCGGUACCUGACGAUGCUCCCAGUUCCAGACGGAGACGUGAUCCGUAUCAUCGGCCGUAACAAUCCACGGAUGCGUCGGAUGCACCUGUAUCUUCACGAUCUUACCAUUGGUCUGCCGAAACGCUCUCGCGCGUAACAUUUCGAUCUCUCUGACGAACCGCGAAGAUCAAUGAAACAACUCACGAAUCUGAAGAGCUCAAUUGCAUCCGCAGAGACGAUUCAGAUUCACGAGAACUCCUCAGUAGAGAAAAUUCAGCUACGCAGAGAGGAAGAGUAAUCAGAUCCGAUCCAGAAUCGGUUAGAUCCACCACUACAAUCGACGAACAAACAAAAGUAUCCGGUUGUGAUUUCGGAAGCGAAACGCGAAGCGAGAAGGCCAGUCUGAUAAACAAAUAGGCCCAAGAAUAUUUUUAGCCCGUUUUAUGAUAACAAAUAUAUAUAUUUCAUUUAAUAUAUUUUUAUAGGAUUUUUAGUAAUUAAACCCCUCAACUAAAGAUGAAUCGUAAAAAAAAACCCCAACUAAAAAUCCUGUGAAAUAAACCAUCAACUUUAGUUCUGUUAACAUAUGUUAUCCUCCGUUUAAAAAACCGUGACGGAGGGUGACAUAUGUUCACGGUUUAUAAGUUGAGGGUUUAUUUUACUGGAUUUUUAGUUGAGGGUUUUUUUUACGAUUCAUCUUUAGUUGAGGGGUUUUAUCACUAAAAGUCUUUAAAUGUUAUUAAAUUAUUUAUUAUCAUUUAUACAUUGUUUUAAGAUUUAUAAGCCUUUAAAACUAAUUUAUAAAUUUUAAUACAUUAAUAUAUUUGUAUAUUAAUUUAUACAUCUUAAAUUAAUAAUUUUUAACACUACUUACAACUUAUUAUAACUUUGAAAUAUUAAAUUAUUUGAUAUUUGGCAAUAGUGAUAUAAAAAAUUUUGUGUGUUUAUAUCGUCAUUGUCAAAUAUGAAAUAAUUUAUAGUUUCUAAGUUAUAUUAAGUAGUGUCGAGAUAAUUCAUCCAUGAAGUCAAUCUUUCUAUUUAGAGUAUGAUGCACUUUUUCCUAUUUUCAUGAUUUCUGUCAUCCGGCUCAUACUUCUUCCCCCUCCAAAAUAAUGCAUGAUUAUUUUUAUUCUCAUUGAUUUCUGAAUAACUACAUUAUAUUUUUAUUUUCUUGAUCAAUAAUAUAUUUAAAACAUAAAGUAAUACAAUAAAUCAAGAACAAUAUAGGAAAAUAGAAAAGUAUGAGUCUGAUGACGAAAAUAAGAAAAAGUACGUCAUACUCCAAAUAGAAAGAUUGACUUCAUGGAUGAAUUAUCCUCAAUACUACUUAAGACUUAAUAUAACUUAGAAACUUUCAAUUAUUUGAUAUUUGAAAAUGACGAUAUAAACACACAAUUUUUUUUAUAUCACUAUUGCCAAAUAUCAAAUAAUUUAAUAUUUUGAAGUUAUAAUAAGUUGUAAAUCGUGUUGAAAAUUAUUAAUUUAAGAUGUAUAAAUUAAUUUUAUAAUAGAUUAAUGUAUUAAAAAUAUAAAUUAGUUUUAAAGGCUUACAAAUCAAUCUAAAACAAUGUAUAAAUGGAUAAUAAAUAACUUAAAAACCCUUUAAUGACUUUUAGUGAUAAAACCCCUCAACUAUUUUUGAAUCUUAAAAAAGACCCUUAACUAAGUUUUUAACAUUAUAAACCCUCAACUUAUAAACCGUUAACAUAUGUCACCCUCCGUCACGGUUUUUUAGACGGAGGGUAACAUAUGUUAACGGAACUAAAGUUGAUGGUUUAUUUCACAGGAUUUUUAGUUGAGGGUUUUUUUUUACGAUUCAUCUUUAGUUGAGGGGUUUAAUUACUAAAAACCCAUUUUUAUAUUGUAUAGUAAAAAUUAAUCCAUAUUAAAAACUUUGUAAAAUAGUAAUACUGAAAUCAUAUCAUUUAAAAUAAUUUUUUUGGUUAUAAAAUCAGUUCAACUAAUAAUAAAAUACUUUAGAGAAUAUUUUAUAUAAUGUAUACUAUUAUAUGUGAAGUGAUUUUGCAGAUUUGAUGGAGGAAUGGUAUAUUGGUUUAGCACAAGAUAGAAAAAGGAGAUAGAUUUUUUUUCUUGGCAAUUGUCAAUAAUAACAUCUUUUGAAGUUUAUGUCUCAAAAAUAGCACUAGAAGGAGAAAGUCACAAAAAUGACAUUCAUUAAAGGGUAAAAUAUCUCUAAUACCCUUGGUUAAAANNNNNNNNNNNNNNNNNNNNNNNNNNNNNNNNNNNNNNNNNNNNNNNNNNNNNNNNNNNNNNNNNNNNNNNNNNNNNNNNNNNNNNNNNNNNNNNNNNNNGGGGGGGAGCUUGGAUAGGGCUGAGCCAACAUCCAUUCUCUAUCCUCUGAGAUUGGUUUUUGAAGGGUUUCUUCUGUUGUGAAAUCUCUCUUUUGAAAUAUCAGAUGGUUCCUUGAGAUCCAGAGAGUCCAGAUGAUUGAAGCUGAAAAGGUACCUGUGGAGAGUCCCACUGGGGGUAGCGAGGGGAGCUUUCUGACUACUUCCCAACCAUAAUAUCUGCACACAUUUAUUUCACUUUUUCCUGGGUUGAUUCUCUUGUUUAGAAGGCCAUCCUAUAAACACUCAAAUUCCCAUGCCAGCGAAUGUUCUUACCUUGGUCAUAAACUUCUCUGCUAUGAUGAUGGAAGUUCCACCCAUGCCAGCUCUAACCAACAGGCACAUGCAAACUUUUAUUUAAAAAUCAAUUAUUGUAUUUUGUAGAGAAAAGUGGAAUGAAAUUUUAUUGAUCUUUGUAAAAUACAUUUGUUAAUUUUAUUGAUCCUUGAGAGAAUUUAUUGUCUCCACCAAAGUAAAUGAAUGGUGAGCGCAAACUACUCAAAGCCUUCUCGAUGUAUCCAUUUUUUUUUUGGAACAACUUUCCAUAUAUUCAUUUUCCUCCUUUUGCUUUAUUCGCAGCUGUUUUUGCUAUUAUCUGCUGGAAAAAAUUGUGUAAAACUUAAAAUAAUUUUACAAAAUUAUGAAGAAAAAUAAACAUACACUCUCUCUAUUUUUAUAUAUAAGUUGUUUUGCUUAAAAGCACAAGAAUUUAGAAAAACACAUUUAUAGCUUUAGCAUUUAAUUACAUUUAUAAUUUUACUUUUAAUUUUUUUUAGUUAAAUAUCAUUUAAAUAUAUUACUUUUUGCAUUAGAUUUUGAAACUUAUAUUGAGAAACAAACAAAAACCUUCAAAACUAUUUAUAUAUAAAAACAAAGGGAGUAUUUGAGUGGUCAAACAUGGCAGCAAAUCACUCUACUUCUGUGUGCUCUGUGUUGUAGGAAACUAGAAAUUAAUCUCAGGAAAAACUAAUUUAUCUUGGGCUUAACACAAAACAAGCCCAUUAUUCCUUCUACUUUUGAUCCAACAACAUAAUUUGAUUUGUCCACAACUUCUUAGAACCUCUAGUUCAGGUAGAGUCUUUCUUCAUACUAAAACACUCCGCUUCUUUUCUUCUUUUCUCUGCUAAUUAGAAAAAAUGUCAGUUCUGUGUCCCGUCUAUAACGCUUCCUCUUCCCCAAAUCGAAAGGGAAACAAUAAAUCCUUCUUCUUAUGCUCCUCUUCACAUCAAUUCAAUCCUCCUCACACGUUUUUUUCCCCGAUGAUUCAGCCAUGUGAAUGCCCACUUUGAUAUAUCAGUAAUGAUGGAAAAAUAUUAGCGAGAUGGAAAAUUCAAAAAGCUAGUUAUUUGACUGUGACGUAAUUUUCUUCAAAGAUUGUUUUCAUUAUUUUCGUCUAUAGAUGCAGAGCCUUAUUUCCUUGGUAAUAUAAAUUAUGUACUAAUCUUACCCAAAUUUCCCAAAUGAAAAUUUUCAUAUGCUUACCAAUGGUGGAAAUUAUAACAUGUAAAUAUAGGUUCAGUGGGCUUUAUAUAGUUGAGUUACCUUUAUCUGAAUGAAAGAAACUGCUGAUCAAAACAAAAGAUGUGCUUCAUCUCCAAAUUGAAACAAUAAGUUACCAUUUCAUAAUAAUUAUUAUCUUUGGUUACUUUGUAGCAUCUCCACAUUUAUAUGUUCUUUUGUCUUGAUUCUCUUCUUUAAGAAGUCAUUGUAUAAUAUCUAUAUUUUUAAAACUUGUGACUGUUGCUAAGUAUGAACCAAUAGAUUCUAUGCUAUAUUUCGAUUCACUAAGUCUUGGUUGAUAAAUCAUCACAUCAAAAUUCAUCGUCUUAAUCUUUACUUGGUUACUUUGUAACAUCAGCACAUUUAUAUCUCCCUUUUCUUAUAUUCUUCUUGAUUACUUUGUAAUGUCAUUUUUUUUCUUCAAACCAUAAUUUCAUUACUUAAAAGGAGUUUAAGGUCCACAAAGCCUGUUUGGCUACAGAGUCACCAUUGUUAUUAAUCAAUCUAGGGAUAAAAGAAAACUUAAUGGACUUAAAUGAAAGAGCAGAGUGGUAGAUAUCGUGGAGAAUACCAAAAUUCUCGGUCUUCAUCUCUUGACAGUUGAUGAUUUUGAUAAGAGUUUGAGUCUCGGAGAGGAUUGAGAUGGCUUCAAUUCCGCGAGAGAGGGAAAAGUUUAUGGCAGAUCGAAUGGCAAAAGCUUCUGCCAUAAGGGGUGACGAUACAUGUUCUGCUAUCGUUGAGUGUUGUGACGGUGAAACCAGAUCAUCAACGAUCCAACCAAGUCAUGCUGCUCUCGUUGUAGAGUUCCAGCCAGCAUCCGUGAAGACCUUCGGGGGGGGGGGAGCUUGGAUAGGGCUGAGCCAACAUCCAUUCUCUAUCUUCUGAGAUUGGUUUUUGAAGGGUUUCUUCUGUUGCGGAAUCCCUCUUUUGAAAUAUCAGAUGGUUCCUAGAGAUCUAGAGAGUUCAGAUGAUUGAAGCUGAAAGGGUACCUGCGGAGAGUCCCACCGGGGGAAGCAAGAGGAGCUUUCUGACUACUUCCCAGCCAUAAUAUCUGCACAUUUAUAUCACCUUUUUCUGGAUCGAUUCUCUUGUUUAGAAGACCAUCCUAUAAAUACUCAAAUUCCCAUGCAAGUUCUAACCAACAGGCACAUGCAAACUUUUAUUUAAAAAUCAAUUAUUGUAUUUUGUAGGGAAAAGUGGAAUGAAAUUUUAUUGAUCUUUGUAAUUUUUUUUUGUCGGCUAUCCAUGUUGGUUAGAUCAAGUGGUGGUAGACGAACCGAUCCUCCGAGAGCAUCUCCGUCUGUUCGGGUCUGAUCUAUACUAAAAAUACAUUUGUUAAUUUAUUGAUCUUUAUUGAUCCUUUAAAGAAAUUAUUGCCUCCACCAAAGUAAAUGAAUGGUGAGCGCACACUGCUCAAAGCCUUCUCGAUAUAUCCAUAUAUUUUCCUUUUCAGCCGUCGUCAAACUUCUUGGCGAGAUCCUAGCUUCUCCGGCGGUCGGCGCUCCUCGCCAUCGCCAGGAGAGGCUCUCGUCAUUCUCAUCUAUUCUGGUCUGAUGAAGGUUGUUGUGGAGUAGCACGAUUAGAGCGAUUUGGUUGAAUGUUCUUACCUUGGUCAUAAACUUCUCUGCUAUGAUGAUGGAAGUUCCAGAUCUUUUGAUCGACGGAGUAGCUAGCCCGCUUGUCCACUUGAUAUCAUAGAUCUAGUUUCAAUAUCUUGGUUUCUAGGCCGUGUUCGGUGUGUCGUAUUUGCAUCGGAGCUCGCUUGUGUUGUUUCUCUCAGUGUUUUUGUUGUUUCUCUGUCGGGUAUCAAUCAGAUCUUGGGGCUUGGAACAGAGGAUGUUUAUGGAGUUUAAAGACUGUGUUCUUCUCUGGCCUCUACUCGAGCAGAUGGUGAUGUUUCGAUCCUAAGCCAUGGUGCAUCUCACAUGAUGCAAAGGCUGUGUUUCCAGCCUGUUUGAGUCCAUUCAUGGUGGUCCUGAAGUUGGAAGUGUUGGGUUUUUCAGUAUUACUGGAGCAGUGUGUCUACUAUCAGAUUGUUUUUCGUGGUCUUUGGCGUUUAUGGAAUUUCAUUCUCUUUUGUUAACGAAUUGGUUGGAUUAACCUCUUUGAGAUGAAUCUUUAUAAGCUAAGCUCUUUUCAAGCCGCUAAUGUGGAUAAAAGAAGAGCCAAACAGUUUAAAGGAUUCAAGUUCAUGGUUUAGAAACAAACAAGAAGACAUCAAUUUUGGAAAUUGUCCAAUGCUCUCUUGAUGAGUUUCCAUUGUAGAGACGGUGAAUAAUUUCAAUCCUUAAUUUUUGCAGAAGCACUAGCCUCUCCUGCAGCCUUCUAUUCGAACGCACACCAUCAUGAGACUAUUGUCUUCGUAUGUGUGAAGUGCGUUUAUGUUUCCUUGACAUACCUAUUGGUAUGGUUUUAUGCUUUGAUUUUUUGUAAUACUCUGGAUUUUUUGUUCAUGUAGCUCAAUAAGAUUCACAGUGUUAAAAAAAAAAUAAGGCAAACGUACGUAGGUUUAGUAAAGAAGCAAAACGUUGUGUUUAAUACCAAUUGCAUAAGGUAGUAAUUAUUGAGAAAAACUCAGGGUUAAGUACAAAAUGUACUCCUGUUUUAAAGAUUAGAUGUUAAAAACUCAAUCUUUAAAUAUAAAGAUUAGUAAAAUAUUGUUUUAUUGUCAUAUUCAAAGAUAUUGUAAAAUUUCACAAAUUUAGAAAGUUUUUAAAAAAUUAAACUUUUCGCGUCAUAGAUUUAUAUAUCGAGUAAAUAAUUAAACAUUUAGUUUUUGUUUAAUUUUUAAAAUAAACUAUAUAGUUUAAAAUUUGUUUUCCUUAGUUUAAGGUAGUAAAGAUUAAUCAUUGUUAGAUAAUAUGAUUUUUGUUAUUUAAAAAAAAUCUUUAUAAUUUUAAAAGUUAACAUCGACAAAUAUUUAAAUAUUUAGCAUAUAGAAUUGUAGAGACGGUGAAUAAUUUCAAUCCUUAAUUUUUGCAGAAGCACUAGCCUCUCCUGCAGCCUUCUAUUCGAACGCACACCAUCAUGAGACUAUUGUCUUCGUAUGUGUGAAGUGCGUUUAUGUUUCCUUGACAUACCUAUUGGUAUGGUUUUAUGCUUUGAUUUUUUGUAAUACUCUGGAUUUUUUGUCCAUGUGGCUCAAUAAGAAACAGUAUUAAAAAAAAAUAUAUCCAUAUAUUUUUUUGGAACAACUUUCCUUAUAUUCAUUUUCCUCCUUCCUCAUUAUUCAAAGCUGUUUUUGCUAUUAUAUAUUCGUAACUUUCCAUAUCAUUUAAAUAUAGAGAAUUCGGCCAAAAAAACUUCAAGUUUGCACGAAUUGCCAAAAGAAACAUGAACUUUUGGGCUGACCAAAAAAACACCAAACUUUCAUUGACUUUAGAAUUAAUUAACAACUAGAUCUCGAUCCGCGCAACCGCGCAGAUUUUUGUUUUCAUUUAUUUUUAUAUAAAUAUUUUGUUUUCAAUUCUAAAUUGGUAUAUAUUAUAAUAUAUAUGUGUCUAUGAAUUUUUAAAACAUAAUAAGUUUACUGUAUAUUUUUUUCAUUGAAUAUAUUGUUUCAAACUUUCACAUGUAUUUGUAUCUUCUUAUAUAUAUUUUUUUUGGAUUAUUAUUUCAUUAUUAAAAUCGUAACUAUAUAUAUAAAGAUUAGUAAAAUAUUGUUUUAUGUCAUAUUCAAAGAUAUUGUAAAAUUUCACAAAUUUAGAAAGUUUUUAAAAAAUUAAACUUUUCGCGUCAUAGAUUUAUAUAUCGAGUAAAUAAUUAAACAUUUAGUUUUUGUUUAAUUUUUAAAAUAAACUAUAUAGUUUAAAAUUUGUUUUCCUUAGUUUAAGGUAGUAAAGAUUAAUCAUUGUUAGAUAAUAUGAUUUUUGUUAUUUAAAAAAAAUCUUUAUAAUUUUAAAAGUUAACAUCGACAAAUAUUUAAAUAUUUAGCAUAUAGAUGUAUAGUAUUACAAUAUUAAAUUUUGCAGAAUUGACCUAUAAUUUAAAGUCAAACACAAAACUAACUUCUUUUUUUUUUGAAAAUUGGUUUUGCCCUAUUCACCCCACAAGUUCAUAUAAUUUACGAAAAUGCCAUCAAUAUUUUUUUUCUUUUUUUUUUCGAAAAUGACAUUUUUACUCUCUCACCCUCAUCAUCUUCAAGUAAUUACAAGAUUGCCAUUGUCAUCAAUACCACAACCACCAUGAACAACCAAUUUGAAGCUCUUAAUGCUCCCAAAAUCGAUUUACCCUUCUUCUUUUUCCAUUCUUGUGAACUAAACACAACAUAUCUCUCACUUUCUCUCCACAAUGAGCUAAAAAAACCCAAGAUUUUGAUUCUAAAUUUUUUAUGGUUCAUAGAGUCAUAGAAGCUAACGAUUCUGGGUGGGUUACUUUCGUUUGUGAUUCUGUGUGCUUGGAGAAGCCUUAUGUAUGCUAAGGAACUUAUCUCACCAAUUUAAGGUAUGACAUCGAGACAUAAAUCAGAGAUCAAAAAUCCAAAUUUGUUAAGUUUUCCAUGAUCCAGGGCCUCUCCAACAUUCACAGGUUUGUAAUAUUCAUCUUCUCCAAUUAUGUUAGCUCUUUGGUUGUAAUGGGUCUCAGUCCGUGCUUGUCCACCAUUGUCCAGAUCGACAACCACAGCAACUUUCUUCUCCUCGUCAAUGAAGAAACUACCAGCUUGAAAAUCAACCCGACAGAAAGAGGUGGUUCUCAAGAACUUGCUCCACGAAACUGCACCCAGAUCAAUAUUACUUGAGACCCAAAUCUCCAAUGUGUGAUCAAUCACGCUGCUUUGAUGUAAUACCGCAAGCUGCUCUUCUCUGACACAAGAUAGAGACACAAAGUUGCCUACAUCAUGAGUUUUAAACGGAAGAGGCAACCGCUUUCCAAAUUUUUCUGUUGUAAAAUCAAAAGAGAUUAUCUCCUCAGUUUUAUUUCUUCUACCUAUCGUCCACCUCUCUUCAGCCAAAAAAUAAGUAUGACCCUUCAAAGACACGCCGCGUUGAUAACUAUCUAUAUUCCAGUCGGGACUGACGUUAAAAACCUUCCACGAACUAGAGCUCAACUCGUAUAUUUCGUACCCAAAAAUCAGGUAUUUGUCGACGCUUCCAAAUUCACCUUUGGUGUCAUACUUGCCAAAAACCCUCAAGAUUUUGUAGUUACGGUUCUUGUCAUAUCCAACAGCAUAUCUGUCUUCACUUCGGAAAGUGUUUCUUGGUUGGAUCCACCUUGUUUGCCCCAAAUAAGGAUUCCACACCAAAAGUCUCGACCUGUCCUUGGUGACACAUAGCAAUAAACCUCCACAGUGAAAGAACUGAGUGAUUUCUACUUGGUCAAGUAUACUGACUUCCUUUAUAGAUGGAUCAACGAAGUCUCCUUCGUUUCCAAUUCCUUGGAGAUCAAACUUCAUCGAACAAACCUUAUAAUCUUUCAGCAUGAACCCAAGAAACUGCUUCCUUCCUGUUGAUGCUGACUUACCAAAAACCUGGUUUUUGGAUAAAUCAUUCCACUUUCUGCAAGUGGAACGCACUGCACUUAGGGAUGUCAACGGAACCCUAGACAAUAUCUCUUCUGCCAAAUCAUCUGGAAGAUCAGACAUUGUUGUCACUUCUCCACAUUUCAACAAACGGCUGCAGUGAAAAAAGGAUAAAGAUUAGAAAGAUCAUAUACUAUACCUUGAGGGAGAUAAUGAGUAUUCAGUGAGAUACAAAAGUAGAUUCAGGAACAAAAGAGAGAAGAUAAUAGAAUCAAACCUAUCGUCCAACAUAUAAGUUUCAGCCUUCUCUAUGAAACCUAUGGCAAUCGCAAACCACUGCAGCUCUCCACCAAAUACUUCUUUUGCUCUACGGUCCAACCCCAGACCAGCACAAAUCUGCACCAGCAUUUCUCUCUCGUCCAGCAUAUUCACAAUUUUUUUAUUUUGGUCGACAUGUUGGGGCUUUAUAUACGUUCAAGAUGAAUCAGACUCGCUUAGUGAGCUCUUCCUUAGGAAAAAAUAUCAAGAUCAAUUUACACACCGUACCUUUAGAUUUUCUUCUACCACUCGGGUGAGAUAGCUUUCAAGUUCUGACCCGCGGAUGUGAGUCAAAUAUUUUUGCCAGUUCUGAGGAUUCUGCCAUAAAGAGACAGGCGAAUAGUCAUGCAUUAGAGCAAUUCCAAUAGAGAGUUCUCAACAUAAAAUUCUCAAAAUAAAUAUAUAUAUUAUGUAUAUAUAAAUAUUAAUAUUUAAUUGCAAAUAUCUCAAAAUUAUCGGAAACUUAACGAGAAUUCGGCCAAAAAAAACCUCAACUUUGCACGAAUUGCCAAAAAAAACAUGAACUUUUGGGCUGACCAAAAAAACACCAAACUUUCAUUGACUUUUGAAUUAAUUAACAAUGUUUUUGCUGACCUGCCAAUUUAGCACGCCGUCAACAAAUUUAUCAGAAAUAUUUGACGUCGUCAUUUUCAAAUGAGAUGAAACGACGUCGUUUUACAUGAUUUGAAAUUAAAAAUAUGUAGACCUCUGGAUUCAAACCCAUUUUUUUAGGUUAGUUUUGCAUUUGAUUCAAGUUUGGGUAUAAGUUUGGGUAUAAGUUUGGGGUUAAAAUCAAGUUGUGGGUUAGUUUUGGCAAAAACCCCUUAAAAUAUCUAUUUAAUUUAAACUAUCUAUAAAUCCAAUGGAUCACCUAUUGUUUAAAUUCAAUUAUAGAUAUCCUAAUAAAAUUUUCUGGUAGGCCCAAAAUUUAAAUGAUAAGAUUAGAUAUUAAAUGUAACAUGACUUUUUAGGAAUAGGUCCAUUAGGUCCAUUUUUUAAAAAGUCACACAUGAAUCAAUGUUGUGACUUCUGUUUUAAUAUAUAAGAUGUUUUCGCUGACUUGCCAAUUUAGCACGCCGUCAAUAAAUUUAACAGAAAUAUUUGACGUCGUUUAUUGUUGGCGUUUAGUGAAACGACGUCGUUUUCAAAUGAGAUGAAACGACAUCGUUUUACAUGAUUUGAAAUUAAAAAUAUGUAGACCCCUGGAUUCGAACCCAGGUUGUUUGGUCAAAUGGCAAGGUCUUUUACCACUAGGCUAGUGGAACUUUCAAUGUACUUACUAACAUGUUUACUUUUAUUUGGUACUGAUUGAAUAUAAAAAUAUUCUCUAAAAACUUAAAAAGAUCUUUAAAAUUCCAAAAAAUUGAAAAAUAAGAAAUUUUUUAUAAAAUCAAUUUUGAAAUUAAAAUUGAAAAUAAAUUUUAUUUUUCUUUUUAAAAAAUAAAAACUCUUCCAAAAUUUUCUAAAAACUUAAAAAGAUCUUUAAAAUUCCAAAAAAUUGAAAAAAUAAAGAAAUUUUUUAUAAAAUUAAUUUUGAAAUUAAAAUAGAAAAUAAAAUUUUAUUAAAAAAAUUUCGUGUUUUCACGAAAAUAAAAUUAAUUUUAUUUUAUAAAAUACUUUUCAAGAAAAAUUUGUUUAUUUUUUCAAUUUUUCUGGAAUUUUAAAGAUCUUUUUAAGUUCUUCGAAAAUUUUGGAAGAGUUUUUAUUUUUUAAAAAGAAAAAUAAAAUUUUAUUUUUAAUUUUAAUUUCUAAAUUAAUUUUAUAAAAAUCUUCUUUAUUUUUUUAAUUUUUUUUGGAAUUUUAAAGAUGUUAUUAAGUUUUUAGAGAAUUUUUUAUAUUUAAACAUGUUAGUAAGUACAUUGAAAGUGCCAGUAGCCCAGUGGUAAAAUACCUUGUCAUUUGACCAACCAACAUGGGUUCGAAUCCAGGUGUCUACAUAUUUUGAGUAAAUAUGGCAGCAAAUCACUCUAGUUCCUUCCGCCUUGUGUUGUAGGAAACUAGGAAUUGAUCUCUUAAACCCAGGAAACAAUAUAAUUUGAUUUGUCCACAACUUGUUAGAAGAGUUUUUCUUUAUACUUUCUCUCUGUGCUAAUUAGAAAAAAAUGUCAGCAUGUCCAGUCUGUAACCUAAGGCUUCCUCUUUCCCAAAUUGAAAGGUAAAACAUAAAUCCAUGCUCCUGUUCAAAUCAAUUCAAUCCUCCUUACAUGUUUUUUUUUUCCGAUGAUUCAGCCAUGUGAAUGCCCACUUCGAAGACGAAAUCGAUCCACAAAUCGCAAAUGACCACUACUUGGCUCUGCAACUCGCUUCUUCUUCUUCUUCUGAUCCUCCUCCAACCCUAAAGGAAGCUCCUUUCCUCGACCCAUUUAACAAAAUCGUUCCUUUCCCGCAAAACGACGACGUUGUGCGUUCACAGACCAAGAGGCCAUUCUACAGAGUAGGAAACGGCGGUUUGAUUUCCUUGCUGACGACUUGUUUGGUGGAGUCAAAGACCAAACCUUUGGAGUGCAGCACAAGUUUACUAUCAGGCUACGUUGAUCAUUUUCAAUCCACGAAGGAGGAUAAAGGAUGGGGAUGCGGGUGGAGGAACAUCCAAAUGCAAUGCUCUCACUUGCUUUCUCGUAGAGACCAAGAAGUUAAAAGAGUUCUCUUUGGUGGCUCUGAGUUCGUUCCCGACAUCCCUUCGCUUCAGCGGUGGUUGGAGAUAGCUUGGAGGAGUGGGUUUGACGUCUCUGGGGGUCUGCAUUUCGACAAGCGUAUAUACGGUUGUAAGAAAUGGAUUGGGACUACUGAGUGUGCUGCGCUGUUGCGUUCUUUUGGGUUGAGAGCUAGAGUUGUUGAUUUUGCGCCUGAGAAGUCUCGGUCCAUGUAUUUGUCGGUUCCUGGCUCUGCUGUUGCGCCUAAGAGGAGGGCGUAUGGUCCUAUGGAUAGAUACGUGGUUAAAAAGGGUGCAAGUGGGGUGGAGAAAGGGGUUGACUCUCGUGGUUCUACCUCUUCUAGGAUAGGGAAAGGAGCGGUUUUGAUGGAUUGGGUUUGGAAUUACUUUUCGGACAACAGGUUGGAUGUUUCCUCUGGUGUUCAUAUGACGAAUAAAGGGUAAGGUGGUUUCUGUUUCUGUUCUCUUGAUCUUGGCUGUGUCUUCUAUAACUUUCCAAAGACAUCACGUUUUUGUUCCUGCAGGCCUUUGUAUUUCCAACAUGAAGGGCACUCGAGAACGAUCGUUGGGAUUCAGAGACGGUUGCAAGGAACUACGUUUACUCCUCAGUACAAUCUCCUGAUUCUGGACCCAGCUGAUGUGAGUUUACUGAUUUUUUUCAUGAAUAAGAACAUCAGAUUUUUGCUAAUGUUAAACUGUGAUUAAUGAUGGUGAGACAUUGAAUAUGAGAAUGCAGUUUACUAGAGAUAUAGAGAAAGCGCUUGUAGAUAAGAAAGGCUGGGAGGGAUAUCUUAAAAGAGGAGCUCACACACUGACUUGUCCCGAGUAUCAGGUCUCAGCUUCAAACUCUGACAUCCUUCCUUUUUUUUGUUAUUUGGUAUCUCAGUAAUCAUAGCUAAGUGAUAUAUAAUAUGUUCCGAGUGUGAUUGGGAGAGAUUAUGAUAUAUAUAUACACAUAUACAGAUGUUGUACGUUGAUAAUGGGAUUGCUGUUGGCGAGGAGUUGGAGCAGCUCAAGACCAUUGAUAGUCACUUCGUUCAAUUCUAAUGGCUUCCAUAAAAAACAGAAAAAAAUGAUUAUUAGAGGAAUCUUAAAUUAGUUGCAGUUUGUACUUUUGUAUCAUAACAAUUGUUAUUUUGGGAAUCAUGAACUAGUUGCAACUGUAUACUUUGGUACCAUAUAUACAUUUGUUUGCUAUAUAAUGUGUCAAGACAAAUUCUGGAUCAUAUCAUAUAAACAACCUUGGAUGACUGUAAAAAACAGGAGGAGAUAAAAGAAGUGGCUAUUUAUUAGAAAAAACUGACAAAGUUACAGAAUGACAAGUUUGAGAUCUGAAAACCUAAAAAUAUAAAUGUCUUAAUCUCAAAAGAAUUAAGACUUUUGAGAGAUAGUCAUUAAGAACAAAAAAAGCUAUAGAAUUUUUGUUACCAUCUCGCAGUUUGGUGAUCCACUUCACUUCCCACUCUUUCUCUGGCAACAAAAACUCAAGUAUGCCUCAAAAUGAAAACACCACAACUUCACUGUUUGCUCUUCAACUGUCUCCGAAAAUUGUUGACAAUUUUUAGAGAGGGUUAGUUAAGGGGCAGAAGAUGCAGCUACCUUCUUCCGUACAAUCCUCUUUCGCCUAGCCUUUGGAGGUGUAGACUCUGAAGCUGAGUCCUGUUGCUUCAAACCAAGUAGCCCUGAGACUAUUGCAUUCUUUGAGAUGAACCAUCUUGACGCUGGCUUUGCUGCUGCUGCUUCCUCCGAGGGUCGGUUGUAUGCUUUUGCCAGCAGAUCAUCAGACUGAGCCAGCGGGUCUGCCUCCACACCUAGCCACACUUGUCUUGAUCUUUCCCCUAACUGAACGUUCAUAAUCCUGUUCCACAUCCAUUCCAUGUUCCUUAUACAAAUCCUUCCAAGCCAUUAGAAAAAAGGUUUCCUAAGGGGUGAAAGAGAAGAAUAUACCUCACGGCAGUGCCAAAGAAGAGUGCUACUCCAAUGACAUCAAAGUGGUUGCUCAUUGCUCUUUCAAACCCACAUAGUAGUUGGUAUCUCAAGUUUGCAUAUAACCCAAGGAAUGCGCCGUAACCAAGAGCGUUUGUGGUGAUUGAAGGGACCGUCACAGAUACUCUGCCAGAACAAAGAUACAAAAAGUCAAUAAUCAACCAUGAGCUGAAAGAAAAGUGAAUGCAGAGAAGGUGAUGACCUGUUCUUCUUCUUUCCAGCCAGAAAGUUUGACAACGAACCCUGGAGAGUUCCUGUUGCAACUCCAAGAAUGGAUAACUCUGCGGCCUUGUAGAAUAGAGAAUGAAUCCUCUUCUGCAGGUCGAACUCUCUAAGGGGAUAGCUCAUCUCAAAAACGUUGUUUGGUAGCUUCUGGAGUGUAUUUUGCAGGUCGAACCGGAACGUGUUCCCAUAGGACCGACAUGGAGCCAGCAACCAAACAGCAGCUGCAUUGCAUGCUGAGACAGUAAGAACGUUUAUGAGCGCAAGAUCCCAUUCCUCUUUUAUUCUGCAAAUCACAGGAAAAACAAUUUAAGACAAGGAAACAAAACGCUACAAAACUGAUAAAUGGGAAGUCAGUUUACGUUACCUAUCCUUACGAGUCUUCACUUCCCACCAAACCGAGCAUCCAACCGUGGCAGCUUGCUCCAAGAGAAGCCUAUAGAGAAAUGAAGGAUCCGCCAACAUCCUACACAAAGACAAGUCACAUAGUCAAGCACUGUGAAGAAGAAGAAGUCCACAUCGACCUAUGGUUCUCAGAAGAUACAUUACCUGCCAACGAAGGCUCUCGACAAUCCCUGAGGAAGAGCACGGGAGAUGAAUCUAGUUGUUGUAGGACGAGCGUUAAUAGCAAGGAACUUAACCAUUUGUGCUGAGCUGACCAAACCCUGCAUACAAAAGUUUCCAUAAGUUUUAAAAGAUCUCAAAACCAUAAAACGAAAGAUUCAAGAACAUCAUACCAUUUCAUAUGCUUGACGGAGGCCAGCAGGCAAAUCCAGCAUUGUCUUUUGCCACUCGUUCAACACAGCAUCAACAAACUUCCUAUCAAAAAGCUGAGAAAAAAAAAAAAAACACAAAUGUUGUUACUGGAGUGACACCAUGGCAAUAAAAAUUCAUAAGGAUCUCUUACCUCUGCGAGGAACAUCCUACGCCUAAAGAGUCCACCUUCAUCUCCAUCAUCGUCAUCAUCAAAUUCAUCAAAGUAAUCAUCAUCAUCACCAUCAUCAUCACCUCCAUCGCCACCACCGAAAUUGACACUCUUUCCAAUGUCUCCACCUCCUCCUCCAGUAGCAAUCUGCAAUGAGAAAAAUAAACAAGAAAAUUCAAAACGCUAAUCUUUUUCUGUUCAGUGAAAAAACAUCUCACAGCAAAGGCUAUCUCCAAGGAAAACAUUAUUUCAAACACCUUCUUGAGAUACAACAAAUCCAACUACUUACAUCCACAGGUUAUUGUAACACAUGGUACUUAUACGAAUUAAAGAUUAGAGACUAAGUGGCGUAGUACUAAUAGUUCCAAGAAGAUUGAACAACUCUCUGCCAUCAGUAACUAACUUGAACAGAGGGAACAGAGCAAGAAGCCUAGAUAAAGGCUAUAUAGAAUUCACUAAAGAGAGAACAGAGCAAGACAAUAGAGCCUUUAUAUAGAAUUCACUAAACCGUUCUAAAACUCUUUGAUUAGUAACAAGAAGAGAGAGAGAGACCUCAGGGGUAGACUCGACUUUCUUCUGGGUCAUAUCAAGCUUUCCCUUUUCCAAGGUAACAGCUCCCACCGAACCAAACUUCCCACCUUUCAUCUCCGGACACAUCUGAGCACUCGGGGAAGCUGAGCCAGAGGAAGACGCGCCUAACUCGCCGCUGAAUUGCAGCUGUAAGCAGCGUUCGAGACCCGAAACUGAAUCUCCGACGGAAUCGAUAAGAGAAGAGGAGGAAGCUCUGAUGAAGCAGCUGCGACGGAGCUUACAAGGGAGAGUGGCGAUAGGGCGAGGGAUGGGUAAAGAGGGUUUGAGUGGAGAUAAGGGUUUUGGAGCGUCGACGCUCUGAAACGCCAUAUGAGACAUGGCUUUCCGAGUUUAAAGACUCAACCUUUGAUGAUUUUCUUGGAAGAGAAAGGCGGCAGAGAGCCUUUUUCUUUUUUUUCUCUCUUUGGGGAUGUCAGAGAGAUGAGAAAGGAGAGAAGAGGAGAUAUCGCCAAUGAGAUGACGACUAUACACAGCAAACCCAAUCUUGGUUUCUCUUUUUUUUUUCCACCAACUCAGUUUUAAUACUUCUGGCUGAUACAGAGGGUCUCAAGUCGGUAAGUGUUAGCAUCUACGAAUACAUCCAAUUCGAGGUUCCAUGGUUUGUUUAUUGGCAUACGUCAAGGGGAGAUUAAAUCAAAUAAAAAUAUAUAUAUAACGUUUAUCAAACCAACCAAAUCUCUUUCGAUCAGUUUACACGCUUCACAUAGACGUACCUCAGAGAGUUUUUCUUUUGUUUAAUAGUAAUACAAACCAACAAAUACGAAAACGAAAAUGACACAUUACAAAAUAUAACCAAAUUAAGACACGCAGAUACUGUGAUGAAUAGCAUCGUCUUCUUCCUCUACUCAAUAUCGCCACGAAGCUUGAUUAUGGAUGUACACCUAAAACGAUAUACAUACCCGUUGUCUUUGGUUUUGGGAUCUUCUGUGCAAACUUGGCUUUAGCCAUCCUAGAAACCAAAGUCAAUUGGUUGGCUUCUUAUUGGAGGAUAGGUUACUUGCUGCCUUCCGGUUGCUGCAUUCUCUGUUGGUUUCACUGCUGUUGUAACGGGUUCAGGCGGCGGUGGCGGUGGAAUUGUUUGGCUAUUAUCCUCUGUGGCGUCUAGAGCUGUUUCUGUGUUUGGAGUUGAAGACGGUUCACUUUUUUCUUCCGAAGGUGUUUCCUCGACUACAGGAGGCUCAGAUACUGUCUCUGUCACUGGUUUAUCCACAUGUUCUGCUGUCUCAGCAACAGCUGCAGUUUCCGGUGCUGCUGAUUCAGACUCAGCUGCAGUUUCUCGUGCUUCUGACUCGGAAACAGCUGCA
rnacentral:lncRNA from 1 species